rnacentral:rRNA from 1 species
CACGUAGGCGGCUUUGUAAGUUAGAGGUGAAAGCCUGGGAGCUCAACUCCAGAACUGCCUUUAAGACUGCAUCGCUUGAAUCCAGGAGAGGUGAGUGGAAUUCCGAGUGUAGAGGUGAAAUUCGUAGAUAUUCGGAAGAACACCAGUGGCGAAGGCGGCUCACUGGACUGGUAUUGACGCUGAGGUGCGAAAGCGUGGGGAGCAAACA